UUUGGCGUCAGUUAAGAAUUUUUAAUUGACUCACCAUAUGGGAAAGGAUUGAAAAUGUAUCAGUAUCUUUUAUUGAUCGUUCGAAUAGUUUGUAAAAUUAUAGAGACAUGUGAUUUUUUAAUAUGUUUCUGACGUAUUUUUGUUUUAUCCAAAAAUAAUUAGAUAAUACAGCCGAAAUGACCAAAUAACUGCUGUAUAAUUAUCGAUAUUAAGUUGAGACGUUGUAGAUCUGUGGUAAAAACUUUUUUUUAUUGAAAUAUAUAAAUCUGAGAUCCUUUCUUGUAUCAGUCAAACCAAUUAUCCAAAUUUUCUAUUGACUUGGCUCUCGUUGCCAUUUAUCACAUACAUAACUGGCCCGAGCCAUUAAAGCUCCCUUUACUUUGAUUCGAAAUGUCGAAAGUAUUAGUCUAUAAGAUAAGAUUCUUCUCUUAAUUUUAGUUUAAAAAUUCAAUGUAGAAGUUUAUUUAUUUGAUUACUACCGGGCACCUAAAACUGUCAUCUUUGCGUAUUUGGCAGUUCCAUGCAUAGCUGUCACUUUUGCGCAAUGGGGAUGAGACUCCAUUCUGGAGAAACGUCAAAUUCGAUAUCUGCUUCACUUGUAAACAAAAUCCAAAGCUUUUCAUCACGAUUGGUAUUUGCGCGCCAAUUUAUGUAAUUUAUUUUGGAUAAAAUAGUGAAUUUUAACUCCCAACGAAGUGUGGUAAGUAUGUUUUGCAGUCCUUCUGUUCUGCUCACAUUAUUACUAAGCUGUAGAGCGGCCGAAACGAUAUUAUUUUAAGCUUACAUAUUGUCAAUGCUAUUCUUUCGCCUUCCACGAGUUUCCGCUCGAUGAUUCUAUUGAAUGAGUAUGGUGGAGUAAAGGAACUGUUAGAAACACGUUUUUGAUUAAAUUUUAAAGUAAACCUUAGUUACGAUCAUAGGAUGAAAUACGGAACUUGUAAUGGUUCAAAUUCCGGGAUGACGUGACAAGCCAACUGAACCUCCUAGUAUUUGGAAUCGAAUUAGUCGCCCCAACGGCUGGAAGUAGCUGGCAUUUGUUAUACUGGAUUUGAUGGAGUCGUCCAUUUCACCUAAACUACUGCAACUUACUGGUUGUUGUUCUAGUUUCUAUCGCAAAGUAAUGCGGCCUGGCGUUCUACAUUAAUAUUUUUUCUUCAUGAAUAACUCAAGAGGCACAGGUGCAAAGAAGCACGCAUGUUACGCAGCGCCUGUCAUAGUGCUACACAUACACGUGGUCUGUUAGCACUAAUACCAUCACCACCACCGUUUAUCCGGCAAACCGGUAGACUUAAGUCACAACGCAGCAGGUGAAAAAGAUGCGUACAAAACCCCAUCAGCAGGGGAACGAACUAACGCAGGCAUAAUUAUGCAAAGUACUCUUUCUUCCAUCCCUUUCGCACAAACAUCGAACCUCAGUACAGUCGGAAAGGUUAUGCUCCACGGCUCUUUGAGCAAGCUUUCCCGCGAUUGCUGGGCUUUACGCAUCGCGGACGAACGUUCGAAAGAGAGAUCCGAAGUCGCUGUGGAGCGUUCGUGGGGCCUCUCGCGUCCAUAUACAUUCAGUCGAACACCAUACAACGCUCGGAGUACGAUUGAAGAUCUCGAUCAGUGCGGAUCGUAGUUUCGCUGGUCGAGCAACAUAGAAGGAACGGAUGCUAGAGCUGUUUGUACAGUGCUUAGUGUGCAGCCGGUGCGUGUGGACACUAUCGAACUAUUCGACAAAAUUAAAAGAACAAACUCAGUGUGAACUUGUGCCUAUCGUACCGAUACUGCCAGUAGAGAGGUUUGGUUUCAACUCAAUAUCGUUGACGUCAAAAUGCUGAUACGUCAGCACGCACACUUCAGGCCUCCAGAACGUAGUGUUUAAUGUAAGUUGUGUUCGUCGCUAAGGCCGGUCCGAUUUUUUUUUGUGGCACUGCUGUGUGGUCGCUCCAGUUUACUCAACUUUACUGCUGUGUCACCAAUGUGCGCCCGCUCCAAGUCACCGUGGGACGCAAAAAUUGUCGAUAAAACCCGCAUGCGCGAUGACGAACGCACACCGAUGGCAACAGUUUAUUUGCUUAAAAGCAACACCUCACCAGCGCAAUGUGGAAGGUAAUUAUACUGCUUUGAACUUGUACGUAGUGCCGGGUCACACGGAACGAACGGAAUAGUAGAACGUUAAUGUUGCGUAUUGAAACGUGUUGAGCCAUUUUAUUCGAUGAAAUUGGCGUAAAAUGGUUCCCGGCAUUGCACUAAAAUUGAAAUGAACAAGUGUGUGUAAGACUGGCUAUGUAUAAUGGUUUACAAAUAAUUACUUGCUAUUUGCUUUUUUUUGUAUAAAAAUGCUUAAGCAAGUGUUAGUGGCAGUGAAACCGGAAAGGGUUAUAUUUCACAAUGCUAUUCGGAUAUUGAGGAGUUUAUUACUAUGACAUCAACUAUUUUCUUUAGCACUGUUCAACGAUGAUCACAUUCUCAGUAGGAGGUUGGUCUCGUGUAUCGUGGAACAUGAUGAAGUUAUAUUGUUAAGAAAAAAACUCUCGUAAAAUAAGUAGCUUGAGUCAUUAAAAGAGCAACAAAAAAUCUUUUGGUGUAGGAAAACUUGAUAAUUUCACCCAAAAAAAAAAAGACAAAAAAGAUUUAAAAGUCCAAUAUUUAAAAAAGAUAUAACAAAACUGAUUAACCAAAAUAAUUCAACUAAAUAAACUAAACACACUAACAGAGCUUUUUUAACAAUUAAUCAUUCCUAGUGAUAAGAGAACUUUUAAAAACUAAGACAGAAGAACCAACCCUUAUCGAAUUCAGUUGAUGAAUACAGCGUUUCUAAAGAGAAGAUGCGUUCAAUAAGCUAAACUGCAAUAUUUAUUACUCCAUGAAUACCAACAUUGUGACACAUCGAGCAAUAUAGCACGUUGUGCUACUUAAAAAUUUAAAGUAACUAAUAAUUAAUUUCGCAAUAGCUGCAUGUUUUGCGUUAAACCAUUAAUCAACUAAUUGCACGUUUACUACUACUGUGUGUUACUACCUACUAGCAUGUUUACUUACCAAAACGAAAGACACUAACACUAACGGAAAGGAACCGAAAGUUCUAUGCAUGUAUGUUUUUACCGCAUCGAUAUGCGUGAUAAAUGGGAUCGAGUGAAAAAAGAAAAGAAAAACGUACCGACGAUGGAUACGUUAGAUCAUCACAUAUCGAAACGAAUGGUAAAAUGUAUUGAAAAAUGCUACAAAUACUAAGAUCGCGCAUCUUUACCUGAAGGGUGUGAACGAUGUUGAUUUACGAUAUUUGUCACAGGUUAGGAACGGACGUAAAUAGCACCUAAAGAGCUUCAAUAUAAUUCUAAGUUAGCGACGCCAGAGAAAACGCCCGUACCGGCAUUGUAGGCAGUUUUUAAACGUGCGUAGCUUUUAGGAUCUUUGGUUAGCAAAUGCCAAAGCAAACAUUGACACCUACACCGUAUUGGAACCGCCUCCGUAUUUUUUUUUUGGAAGCGAAAGCUUAACGAUCUAUCGUCGGCGUUGAUGAUGUAUGUGGUUGAUCGUACCAAAAGCAUGAGUCACAUAUCCACAAAAAAUGAGGAACGUAGUUGUUGCUACAAACAUAUGUGUAUAGGCAUACACGAAAGCCAUAGUUUGAACAUUUUUUUAUUUCAAUUCUUUAAGCUCAUAAUGUACGAUCCCGAAAAAGCCGAUCAAACGUAGCCCGUAAUUAAUUAACAUCUUGAGCAAAAGGUUUUGACUAAUUACGAAAAACAAGUUGUUGUUCGAGAAGAGCUAGGGAAAGAUUGCAAAUCAUUCCAAUGUACCUUAAGAAGUACCCUCAGAGUAACUUUCCUGUACGGUCGGAUCCAGUGGAAUGGACCUCCAUUACCUUCUACUGAGCUUAAUUGAUGCCUACCAUUGAGUCCAAAGCUAAUUAGAGCGUUGCUUUUCGAUUGCCGAUUUUUCGGAGAUUAUCUUAUUUUUAAGUUUUCAAUUGGACAACUUUGGAAGGGGAACAGACGGCUACCGGCACUGAAAAUGUAUCUUUAUUAUACGUUAUACAAACAACUUCCCAAUAGGGAGAACAUUCCUCUCGGAACAUGCAGUGAACAUUGUUUUGCUGAGGAGUUUCUCGUAGCGCAUUAAUUAUGUGCUAACUGUAAUAUGACAAGGUUCGAUUUUAACAUACUUUAUCGCCCAAGCUGCACGAUCGAUGAUCAACGAUCCGUUUCCUGUUUCGUUUCUGAAUUAAUUUGAACAUAUUAAACGCACCCCAAACGGGUGUGAGUAUCCGUGCGUAAGCUUAACUCGAUUAGGCUUAAUUUUACAACCUCUCCACCGGACAGUUCACUUUACUUUUCAAACUUUCCAAUCCAGUAAGGCUUAUUUUUUCAGCCCAUCAGAAUCAGCGCCACGGUAACAACGAGCCCGUAAACAGAACCGUGGGAUUUCUGUGGCUUUUUCACUGCGAUGAAGAACGAAUGAUAAACGCUUUGGAGUUUUUUUGGCUUUCGAAGAAUGAGGAGUAAAAAUCGUUUCCACAUCAGGGUGUGGGGAUUGAAGAUCGUUUCAGCACAUCCCGGUUGUGUGUAGCACAAUUUUAUGACCGCAAGGUAAUGAGAAAAGGAAAACCUUUAAUCCCCCCAAACCCGCUGGAAAGGAAACUGAACAUAAAAAAUGGAAGCAAAAAACCCCAGAAGCGAUAAACGUCGUAAAGCAGUUGAGUGUUAGUUACCGAAUCGAUUUACGAUCGGUUCACUGAUACAAUGAAUCGUCGGCCCUACUAGACAUCCAAGGAUCGACGAUCACCGGGAGCACAUCCGUCACAAGAUGUGACGGUUGUAUGUAUCGAUCUUGGAAGCCAACAGGCUUGGAUGACUUCAUUUGGUCUUUACGAUUAUCGAUCAGAAGUUUAAAGCUGCGAUUACACACAAAAACAGGCCAGUGGAUCCCUGCGACCUACAAAAACAUGCGUUUGUCGAUGAUCCAUUUAAAAAUGGGACCAUGGUGGUCGUCGAGACUGGUGUUUGUGUUGUAACGUUUUUUUUUGUUGUACUUUUCCUCUGCAUCCUUAAACGUUAUUUGGCUGCCCGAAGUAAAUGCGGACCUCAGGUGACUUGUACAUCGCCAGCGGGCUGGCGGUCCCUUUAAUUAGUCUGCUUCUUCCAGCUCUGUUGCCGCCAAACUUUAUCCCUUUAGCGAAGGAACGUAAUAAGAAAUACGGAGGGUUAGUGUGUGCAUGCACGCGGUCAACUUUAGUACGGAAUAACUUGCGUUCUCUCGGUCAUCUGUCGCGAGGUAUGUUCAAAAAGGUUUUGGUUUCUACAUCAAAGGAAUACAAAAACAAAAUAUUCCGCAAAAGUGAGCUGGCACUUUCUGAACUAAAAGGACAACUUCAUACGAAGCACCAUGGUUUUGUGCAGGCAAACGUAACAUUUGUCCCAACAGGAACAAGAGCAUAAACAGCAUAACAAGCGCAUAAUUAUACAACAUCCUUCCGCAUAUGAAAAACAUCCCAUGCUCCUAUGGCUGAUCCAGCAACGGUACGCUAGGAAUAGCACCGUUGUUUGAUGGCAGAGAGUGGCAAGAAUUUUUACCGCCAAUUGGUCAUUAUCAUUCAUUUCCCGUUUUCAAUGUUUUUCGGGAAAGAAAACAACUUUUUUUUUCAAGCGAUCGUCAAAGAAGAAUCCCUUCGGAAAGUGAAAAGGACGAGAUCGCGCCAAGACAGACAAAUGCAGUCAUUCGGGUGUUUGUGCACCCGGCGUUCAACCACCUGUUGAUGUCAAAGUUAGGGUAAAGUUUCGUCGGUAGGCACAUGUGCUUACUUCAACGGUUGACUGUUGCGUAUGAGCCUCCGUGUCUCAUACGUGUUGUUUUCCAGCUGCGAAAAAAUGCAGCAGCGUCCCUCGUAUAAUCCAAAACAUAAUUCACUUUAUACUGAACAUGCGUCGUACAGCUGUCCUUGAAGUCGUUCGAUCAUUGGUUUUACUUUUAUUUAAGGAAUUUUUGUUAUUUUACUACUCCAACUAAAUCUAAAUGCCUUGUUAGUAGCAUUAUUUUUAUAGUUUAUAAUAAAACUGAAAUAAUUGAUUUUUUUGUCAUUGCCACUUGCCUGUGUUACCAAUUGAAAGUUAUUUUUGUUUUUUUUUUACACAUAUCGCAGCAUUAUACAUUAUAAACUAUAAACUUUUUUUUACUACAAUAAUCAAUAUUUGUACUUACUACAUUUUUUAUGUUGUUUUUGAAUGUGUUUGUAGUUUGUUAUGUGGUUACUUAAAUAUUUUUCUCGUCGAAGAAAGAUGCUCUUGUCUGAUUUGUAUCAUUACGGCCAUUUACGACGUACAUAUUAGUUUUCAUUAUUUAUCUUUUAAUCUUAAUUCAUUUUCAAUUGUUUGCUAAAAUUGUUUAACAAUGUCUACUUAAUAUGAACAUAAAGUCUAACCUACUUCCUGUCCUACACUGGUCUCAUCUCAAGAGAGACGUAAAGUCGAUAUACUCUGGUAGAUGAUAAAAAAAACAUUUGAGCCAUCUAAAUGAAGUUACUGGAGAUAUUAUAUGAUUGUUACUGUAAAUAUGCUUAAAUUAAAAAACAAACAAAAAUGACAUAAAGAUGUUUUGAUUGAAAGCAAACUUUCUGUUUGUAUCUUAAAACAACUUCCAGCACUCUGCUGUACGUGAAAUUCAAGAGUCAUGCUAAACACAAGCACCGUAACAUGAGACGCUCUAGAGAAACGAGUUUGUUGUUUCUGCUACACAGGAUUAACAUAAGAAAGUCUUCAAAACAAAGCGACCGAUGACCAUCUGUUAACAGGAUGCUUCAUUAUGGGUGCGAUGGUUUAAACAGGCUUUUUUGUGCAUAUCUCCUGGGAACACUUGAUCCCCCAAAAGAUCAACCUAUUAGGCACGCAAAACAAUAGUCUUCCUGGUCACUGUGUGACUGACCCGUUACUGAACUGAGAGGUGAAUUUCUUAAUCACUUUCAAGCUUCUCAUCCAUCAAACUAAACAGUGCGAAGUGAUGUGCUUUCUCCAUUGCCGGACGGGCAGAAUGAUGCUGUUCAAAGGGCAGCAAGAAAACAGCGCCAGUGCGGACAACUUUGCAUCCACAGCACAGUGUGUGGACGAUGUAUUCCCUCGCGUGCUGCAGGUUCUCACGAACGCUUUCCAUUGGAGAGAAUCUAUUCGAUUGAUGAUGCACGAAAGGAAGACCCACAAGAAACGACUCUGCGUGCGCAGCGAAACGCGAUCUUUUCGAAUCGUCUUAGCUGCCUCUAAGUUCCGUAGCCUACGGCGAUACGGUGGGAAAAAUGUCCAGAAAUCAAUUUAGUUCAGGGGAUUGCAUCUCUCGGAUGGGACAGACGGGAAUGCUGGUACCAUUAAUAAACAAUAAUCACCGUCACAUGGGAGAACCUCGGUCAUGCAAGAGAAGAGACGAUUUGGAAACCAAACCACCACUACAGGAUCUCGAAAAUCGGGAGUUGCAAUAUUUUAUCUUCCACGGAGACAAAUGAGCUCAACGAAUAGCGUAUCUCAUUCGUCUUGUGCUCAUUGGAGGAUGAGACAUGUUAGGCUUGAGCUUCAAAUUGUGCGGAAUGACGAAUGGAUUCAAAGACAUCGUUGGUAUAGAUCGUUCGUGUUUCUUUUUUUUUUGUUGCUCAAAUCAACUCUAACUGCCGGCGAGACUGCCCAAAUCUAAAUGUUUGGCAAUUGUCUGAAAAUAAAACGGGGAUUCCCUUUUUUAUUUUUAACGCUAACGCUGCGACUCGGUCGGGAGGUUUGAUGAGAUUGGAUGAUUGAUUGUUGAGAACUUACUCACUCUCAUCCAAUGUCUGCGGGUUCCGGAAAGACAUAAACUUCUUUCAUCACUCUUCAGCAAGGUGAAACACGUUGGCCUUGGGACAAAGAAUGUUCCGAGCUUUGGGCACGCGCACUGUAGCUAUCGCCCAACCCAUCGAAAGCGCGACCCAACGACUAUAAAAUAACUGAAAGAUCGUACCACAGGAGACGAUCAUGCUUGGACAUGUCGUCCCCAACGGAUCUAGUCGACGGUGAUGCUUAAAUGAAGGUGACGGGAAAAUGGAGUAAUAAAGAGGGAUGUUCUCAAAGAGUAAGAAAGAGAGUGAAAGAGAUGUACGAUUUAGCAGGAAGUGGUGGAGUAGAUGCUUCCUUUUUGGGUUCUGGCUUACGGGCGUGCUAAGGGACAGGGUCAACGGAGACAACACCGACAACGAUGGAACCGGUUUGCGCUACACUGGAAUACGAAGACGAACCACAUCCGUUGAAAGCGUGGUGAGAUGAUGCCGAUCUGGUAGGAAGUCAGUGUAAUCUUCCUUCGAUGAUCGCUGGCAAGGUGGUUGAGUGGUUCCAUCCGAAAAGCCGUUGCCGAUCAUCGAGCUCAACAGGAAAUGGUACAUUAUGAAAUCGAUUUCGAAUUCUUCAAGGCUCAUUCAAGCCGACGCGAGUGUGGACGAGGUACUGGGUGAAGUGAUCCCUCCAGGGGUAACUGGCCCCGAGGAUUGGAGGGCUUGCGAAGCAAAUUGGUGAUCUCUUUUUUCCACCCCAACGCUCUAAUAGAUACGGAAGAGAAGAAGUUUGCGAAGUUGUUUCGGGAUCCAGAAAUUGUGUGUCUAGGAGUGGGGUCACCCUUUUGCUAGCGACCGGAGACUGGUAGUGGACCUGCCCUUUCGUCUGCCCGAUCCUUACGAUACUGCUCCAGUGGCUGAUUAUACCAAUUAUCUACAGGCCGUAGAACGGGAGCCGUAACUUCACAGAUAAUUAGUAAUUACCCUGUCCGGUGAGCGAACGAUCGUACGAAGGAAGUAAACUUCCAGUACCUUGGGCGUUCGGGGCAACGCUUUUUGGCCCGAAGACCUUAGGCCCGCAGAUCCAUGUCGCGCCUCGGAUCGAUUUUCUACUGGAGUAGACCAUGAAAUUACCCCCGAAAGAACUCGAUUCCGAUUCCCUCUUUACGCUUCCGCACUUUGGUCAAUGUGGUUCGGUGGUUUUGAAAACUUGUUCUGACUGUUACCCGCUACGCUGCUUGUGAAGUGAUGCUCGCUGCUCUUCUCCUUUUCGAAGUGAUGCUGUGCGCACUUUGUGUCUUCACUUUGCGUUUCCAAGCGUACCGUAACCAGCAAACGUAAAGAAGAAAAGAAACGAAAUUGAAAUCAGAAACUAAAUCGAUAGCAGCAGCAGCAGUAUCGCAGCCUCACGGGCAGUGGUAAAUUCUAGCAGGAUAAACCAAAACAGAAGAAUCACCGACUUCGAAUGAACAGGCAGUAAUGGUGUGUAAUUACGAAGAUCCUUUCUGGAAUUGCUGCGACUGAGGCAGUCGCGUCAGUCGGCCAGGCCACGAUGACUUUCCAUUUUCUUCACAACUUCAAAUGGUCGUCGAACGUUCGCUUGACCGAAAGCUGAGAAACUCGCGGGAGUUAAAUUGAAGGCCACUUCUGUCUUGUAGGAUGUGUAGAUCUAGUACCGUCAAAGAACUGGGUGAUUUUUGCGAACACACCAUCGUAUCAUGCACACUGCGCUAUGGUCUUUUGAGACGAAAUUUUGCCUAACCAUGCACGAUCUAUUCUUCAUAAAAGGAGCGAAAGCAUCCAACCAUGUCAAGCAAUCAUCUUUUCGCAUGUUGCAAAAAAAAGGAACAAUUCCAUCCCGGGCUAGCUGAUUGGCGCAGCACUAUUCAAAAAGCUAGCCCCUUCGUAGAGGACACUCGGCGGUUUUGGUUGGUGAACUUACAAAGGAAGGGACACGAUGGUCCAGAAAAAAGUCAUACCUUUCUCACGGCCAACAAAAGGCCACACGGCGUUGCCUGAGAACGGCUGUCGCGGUUCAUUCCUGGGACCGAACGUUUAAGCGCUAUCUGGUAGUCAAGUAAUGGGAGUGUAUUUGCCGUUAAUUAAGCAAUCGUAACCCGUUGAGACACUUUCACUUGAGCUGUUUAACCCUAUGCUUUGAUUCCAUAAGUUCAAGAAAAAAAACCCUAUGCGAUGAUUCCAUGAGUUUAAGACGUCUAAAUAACAUACAGCUUGGGUAUGACGCUUUUGCUUGAAUGUAGCUAAACCAGUUGAAAUUUAUCGCUUAUAACUAUAUUAUCAGGAAGGAACAGAUCGCGAAAAGCGAGGCUAAACGAUCGGUUAUGCUACGCCACAGCAACGGUAGUGUUUUCGGUGUAUGACUAAUAGCACAAAGGAUCGAAGUUCAUAGCACCAACACUACAAUAACGGUUGGCACAUAAUAAGCGUGUUGCACCGGUAAAACUUGCACAGGGUGCAACUUAUGACGCAGUAUACGCUACCAACGCAAUGUUCAACCAGACCUGAAACAUGUUGCCGUGAGAUAACCUUUUGCUAGCUGCUGGAAAACUUCGCGCUCCUCCCUCGAGGGUGCGAUGGGUGACUUCCUUCCGUGGCUGUUUAUAAACAGUCGCCAAUAGCCAACUCCACCAGGCUUCAACUAUACACAGUGUCGUUCAUCAACCUUUCUCAGGCCUUCCGUUCCCUCGGGAGGUGGAAACGUUACACCUGACUUAUUGCGAAUCGAAAUGCUUAACCCGUACCCCCGUCACUGGCGGAAUAGAAACCCACUGAACCUUGGUUUGCAGCGUUAUAGAAUAAAUAGACCAGUCCGUGUAGUGUGGUGCAAAUGUCAGUGAACUUCGGUCGCUCGGCACCCCUUUAACCAGUCAGUCGGUGGUAGUUGCGCCUCAAUUCCGGCAUCGGUUUUGCUAGCGUUUGCACAAACCACCAUCAGCGUCAAAAAUGGCUGAAGUUUGCGUGUAGAUUUGUGUUUUAAAUUUACCCUUUUUUUUGCUUACCACUGAGGGAUAGACAGCCACGCUGCAAAAUACACCUGAGUCAGUGGGUAAGAAACUUAACACCUCAAUGCUACAAUUCUUCAAGCUUACAGCGUGGAGAAGGGUUUGGCUGCAAAUGAAUCAAGGGUUGUGUCUAAGUUAGGGAAAGAAACGCCAAGUUAGAAAUAUAGAGCAGCUUGUGUAGCAAGGUUAUUUCUUUGAAAAAAAAUUACAUAUAAAAAUAUAGGUUUUCUCUAUAAACUGCUAGAUUUAGAACGUUACAGCUGAAAGAGUAACAUCAUAUUUUAUUUCAUUAUUAAAAAAAACUAAAUUAAGUCUGUUCCUUUUAUUAUUUACUAUAACACAACAAACUGCAACCACUCACACAAAAGAAAAAGAAAAUAUACAAUCAUGCUCUUUCAGACAAGAAAAAAAAGCUUUAAACUACGAUCGUAAACAAAAGUGCUCAAUAGGUAAAACAACGCCCUAGCUGGUAGAAGGAAAAAAAAACCAAUUCGAAGAUCGAGCAAGAAGCGCAUAUUGUGCGGUUUAAAAAUUGCUGCCCUGCUCGAUCGCGGCUGAAAAUAUUUCACAAGUCAUUCACAUCGUGACCCCGUCAACGGAGGCACCGGGCCAAGGCAUCCUCAUCGAUGGCUCGGAUGUGGUACCACAGCCAAGGGGCAAAGAAUAACGCCCAGCUUCAAUCGAGACCGGGUUCAAGACUAUCCGUAGCGGGAUUGACCCGUGUUGGGGUGCGGUAGGAUAGCGACCGCGACGUAAAGAUUGGUCUGAAAUGUCAAACCGAGAAGAGCCAAAGAAGUGAAAGGCUAUGCCCGUGGUGUUCGUGUACUACAGCGCCAUUCGAAUAGGGCAUGGCCUAAAGGUCUAUGAUUAGAUGGUGGUGCGCUAUUUAGCGAAAAAUUUAUUUCCAUCGAAUCGGGUUGAUCUUUGCAUGUUGCAAACUAGGGGCGUAGGGUGAAGGCAGGAUUUAAAUGAAUUACAAUGGGAACGGACUGUGCAGAAUAUAAAACAGUGAUUUUUGUUUAUAAUUUAUAUGGUUGUAUCAGAUUUCCUAUUUUUGAUAAAUAAGCUUCUUGCACAUGUCCAUGUCCAAGUCUCCAAUCUGGCUGCUGUACGACUAGCGGAAGUAUUUCCGUCGAAUGUUGUUGGCCUAGUUCCGAAACGUUUCCGUUCCUUGGCUGUUAGAUAAAAUUGUUUAUUCGCUCCAUGACUCGCCUGAUCAGCUAGUGGGGGUUGAAGUUCCAUCUGUAGAAUAAAACCGCCAUUCAGUUUAUACCCAUUUGUUUUCCUAUUCUACUUCCCAGAGGAAAUGAAGCCCCGAUCGUAAAUUUUGUGACGAGUUGGACGCUCCUUUUCGAGCUUCUGCUCCAUCGACCGAUAGACCUCGGAACGCUACUUAAAGUGGAAGAAAGAUAUAAACCCAUCUAAUCGUACAAGCACGUACCCUUAUCUGUGGCCGAAAGUCUAAUCAAAUAGAACGACCUACAACGAUAGAAAGCACUUUCCGACACACCUAGCAUUGGUGUGACCUCACGAGCAGAUUGCAAAUGAAUGCGCUACACGUGAUCGUGAGCCAGGUGAAAGGAUGGCGUACACUGAUGUCUUCUUCGGCACACAAGCGCAUACCACACUCUGCUAGCCCUUAGGGUCAUUGGGCUUCCGCGUAGCAAUUAUCGACUGCUGAGACGACGACUACGAUGACGACGAUGAAGAUAGUCCCAUCGGUGUCUUGACACGGUGAGUAGCACUGUCACGUUUGGGUCGAAAAAAACAACGGAAGAGAUCCUCUAUAUCCCGACACGAUCUGGAGCACGCGGCUCAUCGCUUCUCACGGUGUGCGACUUCAUUGUCGCACUCGAAACCGAUCCCUACGCUUCGAAAUUGCCUUAUGCUCAGUUGCAUUCCACGGCUUCCUGCAACCCAAAACGAACCACCCGUACCAAGAUCUGGACAGAAUCUUUAGAAUGCCACGAUCGUUAAAGGGCGACCGAGUGCAACUCGCGUGAAAUGCUUCGAGAUCCCUUUUUCUUUUCCAUCGCCAGAAAACGGCUGAGCUGUUGUGCUUAGCAAACAAGACGCCCGACUGGACUGUGCGGUAAGUUGAACGAAAUGAUGCAGCAUGCAAAGUGAAGCCCAACGUGCCCGUCCAAUGUUGAAGGCAAGAUCAAAGUGUCUGACAGUGAGUCGAGCGUACUAAUUCCUGUCCGGUUCGGUUUCAGCCAUGGGAAAAUCACAUCUAAUGACCCCACGCUGUCCUAGACGAUGUGACCAGGUUGGGAAGACUUAUUUUCUUCCGCCUGGAUGCCGAUUGCAUGUCAAAACAAGCAGCGAAUUGUCAAAGAAAAUUACCACUCCAAUUUCUGCCCUUCAGUGUCUUUCUGCCUACGUUAUGUUCCGGAUCGAAAAGGAGACCAGUUCGACUUGGGCCCUGCAAAUGUGCGACAGGAAAUAACCCACAAGCAAGAACGAUCUAUCAUUGGUUCGGCUUAUUCGUCGAUAAAUCUUCUCAACCGAUUAUGCUGUGGUUAAUCGGUUUGGGUACUUUUGGGUACCCACAGGGUUUCCUAAACAAAUCGCCGGUGGUCUUGCGAGCCGGAAGAGAAUAGCUGAGAAGGAUAUGGACGAUACCGUUGGUUGUGCGUUUCGUUCGGUGAGAGUUUGUGUCGCUUUGAGAGCAGGCUAAUCCAAUGACAUGGUUAUUUUUUCCCCCUUCAUUCUAAUACGCUCAGUGUAACCCGCCCGGAACAUGCCGAACAAUGUCUAGACUUCAAACAAAAUACAUCGUCAGUAAACGAGUAGUUUCAUUCUUUCCGUCAUUUCCUGUGGAUGUGGUUUGUAAGCUCACUUUGAAAGCCUUUGAUUACUGCCGGUGAUCAUUAGCGAUCGUCACAACGUCGGUCGAUGUUGAGAAAAGCUGUUUGUUACGUGGAUUUUGGAGAUCGAAAGCUUGCCAGCUAUGAAUAGCUAUGAAAUAGCAUUGAAAACCCCUUCUUAAUCUAUGAACGGUAAUGGUUUGUAUCUACUACCUGUUAGGAAGUUUUGCUUUAUGUGUAAAACCGUAUGGAAUUUAAUUAAUUAUUAAUGGGUUUUUGGGGGAAUUGAUCAAAACGCUUCUCUAUAUGAAAGGGUAUUAAGAUUGUAUAAUAUACAUUAUGAUGGUUUGAUGAGUGUCUGAGAGUGAAUUAAAAGAUGUUUAGAAAAUUUGCUCAAACAUCCUAUUUGCGAUCAUAGAUUUCAUCAUUCCAUCAUCUACUGGUGCUAUAUUGCUUUGAUGGGAGCAAUCUUUAUUAAUUAUCCACUAUAACUUUGGAUCUUAAUGCUAGGUUAAAUUCGCAUACCAGGAAGAUUCUCUGUGAUACUCUACACAUAAGCAACUCAUUGCCCAAAAAAAAGCUUCACCCUGGACAAAGUGGAAGAAAGAAACGGGAAUAAAACAACAACUAAAGUCAAAGUUCGCAAGAAACCGCAAGAACCUCUGUCCAAAGUGCCAUGUCACGAAUUUAAACUCAACCAACGGCCAUCCGCACUAAAUCAAUCCACCGCACCGCUUGAUUCACAUUCACUCACGCGCGUGGCCCAUUCGCAACGUGAGCGGUAGAGUAUCAUCUUCCUGUUGGUAUCAUCACCGGAGAGUGGGAAAGAAUUUACCAAUGGAUUCCAGUUCUUGGAACAUUUAAGUGUUAAGUAAGGCCGGUCGCGGGGCAUACAUGUACAAGCGAAACGGGUCACGAGAUUUACAGCGAAAGGCUAUCAGCAUCACCUGGUGUACACGGUUGACGGAAACGAAUGAUUGAAAGUGGUCGUCGACUCAUCUCACCACGAAACUGUAAAUUAUCGUUCUAAUCUGUGACAAGAUAAGCACCUAAAUCUUUCACCUUGCAGCCGACACCUCGGUUGACGGUUUCGAUUCACGCUUUCAGUGCGCGACCAAUCUAGGCGAUGGGCCAAUUGUCACGUCGUCGAAGCACCGCGGGAUGUCUUUAGUUGAAUUUAAUGUGAUUGUUACCGUCGUGGCACGGUGAGAAAAUGUGGGAGAACAUUUUUCAUGCCCGCUUUCAGUUCAGCCCGUUUGGGUUUCGUUCGGGCUUCGCAUCCACCGAACCGGGAACGCUGGGCACGCGCGUCCUCUUGAGCGUCUUUGCACCGACGGAGGCACGCCAUUGAUGUUCGGUUAAAUUAGCAUAAUAUUUCUAUCGUCGUUUGCCGCACCUUCUGAUCGACUGUAAGAGCCUUGCCUAGUGGGUGAAGCCAUCACCGUUGUCGAAUAAUCCCAUAAGGAAAAUAUCAACAUGACACACUCGUUUAGCGGUUGAAUGAAAAGUGCGGUAACUGAUAUACUUUUUAUCACCUUUUCUACUUAGCAGGGGGCCAGGGAAUAGGUUUUUUGGUGUUAUGAAAAACACAAACAAAUAUUUCAACUCGUAAGGGAUACUCUUUUUGUUUGACUUCCUGUUUUGUUUGGUCAUUUUUUUGAUUGAUGAUCCAUUUGAAUUUUUAAACAGUUUUG